rnacentral:rRNA from 1 species
CAGUAGCCGCGGUAAUACGUAGGUGGCAAGCGUUGUCCGGAAUUAUUGGGCGUAAAGGGCUCGCAGGCGGUUUCUUAAGUCUGAUGUGAAAGCCCCCGGCUCAACCGGGGAGGGUCACUGGAAACUGGGAAACUUGAGUGCAGAAGAGGAGAGUGGAAUUCCACGUGUAGCGGUGAAAUGCGUAGAGAUGUGGAGGAACACCAGUGGCGAAGGCGACUCUCUGGUCUGUAACUGACGCUGAGGAGCGAAAGCGUGGGGAGCGAACAGGAUUAGAUACCCGAGUAGUCCCUGUCUCUUAUAC